rnacentral:tRNA from 1 species
GCCCGGUUAGCUCAAUCGGUAGAGCGUGAGACUCUUAUUCGAGAGACACGUUCUGAAAUGUGGUGAAUAUCUCAAGGUUGCGGGUUCGACCCCCGCAUCGGGCU